rnacentral:tRNA from 1 species
GGCGGCGUAGCCAAGUGGUAAGGCAAGGGCCUGCAAAGCCUUGAUCACCGGUUCGACUCCGGUCGCCGCCU